AGGACGAACGCUGGCGGCGUGCCUAACACAUGCAAGUCGAACGAGGUCCAUCCGGUAGCAAUACUGGUGAAGAUCAAGUGGCGAACGGGUGAGUAGCACGUGAGCAACCUGCCCCGAAGACCGGGACAACACCGGGAAACCGGUGCUAAUACCUGAUAUCCCCACCGAGUCGCAUGGCUUGGUGAGGAAAUGGAUUCCGCUUCGGGAGGGGCUCGCGGCCUAUCAGCUUGUUGGUGAGGUAAUGGCUCACCAAGGCUUCGACGGGUAGCUGGUCUGAGAGGACGAUCAGCCACACUGGGACUGAGACACGGCCCAGACUCCUACGGGAGGCAGCAGUGGGGAAUCUUGCACAAUGGGCGAAAGCCUGAUGCAGCAACGCCGCGUGAGGGACGAAGGCUUUCUGAGUUGUAAACCUCUUUCAGCAGGGACGAUUGUGACGGUACCUGCAGAAGAGCCCGGCAACUACGCGCCAGCAGCCG
rnacentral:rRNA from 1 species